rnacentral:rRNA from 1 species
CCUACGGGAGGCAGCAGUGGGGAAUAUUGGACAAUGGGGGGAACCCUGAUCCAGCCAUGCCGCGUGUGUGAAGAAGGCCCUCGGGUUGUAAAGCACUUUCAGUGAGGAAGAACGCCUGGUGGUUAAUACCCAUCAGGAAAGACAUCACUCACAGAAGAAGCACCGGCUAACUCCGUGCCAGCAGCCGCGGUAAUACGGAGGGUGCGAGCGUUAAUCGGAAUUACUGGGCGUAAAGCGCGCGUAGGUGGCUUGAUAAGCCGGUUGUGAAAGCCCCGGGCUCAACCUGGGAACGGCAUCCGGAACUGUCAAGCUAGAGUGCAGGAGAGGAAUGUAGAAUUCCCGGUGUAGCGGUGAAAUGCGUAGAGAUCGGGAGGAAUACCAGUGGCGAAGGCGGCCUUCUGGACUGACACUGACACUGAGGUGCGAAAGCGUGGGUAGCAAACAGGAUUAGAUACCCUGGUAGUC